CGGUGGAGUAUGUGGUUUAAUUCGAUGCAACGCGAAGAACCUUACCUGGUCUUGACAUCCCGGAGACCCUUGGGGAAACUAGGGGGUGGCUUCCAUCUGGAAGAAUCUGGAGACAGGUGCUGCAUGGCUGUCGUCAGCUCGUGUCGUGAGAUGUUGGGUUAAGUCCCGCAACGAGCGCAACCCUUGCCUUUAGUUGCCAGCAGUUCGGCUGGGCACUCUAAAGGGACUGCCGGUGUUAAACCGGAGGAAGGUGGGGGAUGACGUCAAGUCCUCAUGGCCUUUAUGACCAGGGCUACACACGUACUACAAUGGCCGAUACAAAGGGCAGCGACACUGCGAGGUGAAGCCAAUCCCGUAAAAUCGGUCUCAGUCCGGAUUGGAGUCUGCAACUCGACUCCAUGAAGUUGGAAUCGCUAGUAAUCGUGGAUCAGCAUGCCACGGUGAAUACGUUCCCGGGCCUU
rnacentral:rRNA from 1 species